rnacentral:ncRNA from 1 species
UUUAAAGGCAAACCUGCUGAAAAGCAGGGACGCAAAGCCAGAAGGGGCUAAAGUCAGAACUUUUGACCAGGUCAGCCGGUUGCCA